rnacentral:lncRNA from 1 species
UAUCGAACAGUUUCACCAGCUCACGCAGUCCCAGCAGUAAGUAAGCUCUAGCCAAGUGUCCUCCUUCACUCCCCACGGCAUUCUGGAAGUUUUUAAUCCUUUGGAUGAACUUACUUUCCAAUUCUACCAAGCCUCGCUCCAAAGAUCCUAGUCGCUUGUUGGCGCUGAUAGCCAUGUAUUUCCAUUCCUCCAUCAACUUUUGAUGGGCUUCUUGAGUUCCCCAGUGCUCAUUCUCGCAUUCCUGAAUCCUUUUACGCAAUUGGUUGUACUUAAUCUGAUCCUCAGCUGUUUCAUCGAUGACCCUGUGACCUCACGCAAACACUGGUUAUCCCAAGCCCCCAUAAUCAUCCUACAGCCAGCUGGAGUAGUAUGGCAAACAACUAGCAUUAUUUCUAUCCGGCUCAAUAGAAUCUCUUCCCAAUAUGAUUUUGCAGUGCCACAUAUAUUGAGCUUGGCACAUUUUAGGGCUAUCGUCAUUUUGAAAGGUCGUCCCUGAAUUGACUCAUCUUGUCGACCCCUGUAUAACCUGCUUUCUCCCUCCCUGCCUCAUGACUCGAGUGGGACUUAAGGAUAAGUUCCUCUUAGGCCGAUGAGAAUAAGAAACAGUGCAUCCCAAGAUUGGACAAUGAACUUUUCAGUAGGUAACCAUUCGAACAACCACCGUACUUGGUCUUCCUUCAUAUUUUCAAACAACUCCACCCAUCCUUUAGUGUCUUCCGGUUGAGCAAUCAUUCUAGGCAUAUAGUUUAUUCGCCUUGGCUAAUGGAAGGUGAUAUGAUCAUCCCGGUCCCUAUGUAGGAUCUCUUGCCAGUAUUCGCCUUUUUGGAGCUGCUCCAUGAGCCAAAGUUGGAGUAGUAAGUUACAUUCUUCAAAGUGAUUGGCCCCCUAUUCACAGUUUUUUAGGACUCGGUAUAUCUCCACGACAAUCAUUGGUAAUAUGCUGAAAGGUUGCCCGCCAAUCCCUUUCAUUAGAGUCUUGGUGACCAUGGCUAGUCUAGUAUGGAUCCUAGCCUUCUUCAUGGGAAAUACUAUCAUCUCCAAGAAGCAUAACAUGAAAACAAAGACUCUUCUAUGGAUAUUCCCCAAUGAGGUAAUGGCGAAUUCAUCUGGGUAGGUGUGGUAGGACUUGCUAUGGCCG